CCUGUGUGACUCGAGGUACCGGAGGCAGUCAUGGCGAUAUUGGCACAUGAUGAAUCUCGCAUGCGCAGCCACGCCGCGCUGUGGCAGAGCGGAAUUGCUUGUCGAUUAAACUCUCUUUUAGGGGAGAGGUAAGUGCGGUACCCUAGCAAGCACCGGCUAACUCGCCCCCCAGCCGCCGUAUAGGGAAGGGGCAAGGGGUUAUUUGCUACGAUCACUGGGCGUAAGGAUGCGUAGGCUGGAAAUCAAGUCGAAAGUGAAAUCCAACGGCCAACCGUUGAACUGCUUUCGAAACUGGUUACCUAGAAUAUGGGAGAGGUAGAUGGAAUUAGUGGUGUAGGGGUAAAAUCCGUAGAUAUCACUAGGAAUACCGAUUGCGAAGGCGAUCUACUGGAACAUUAUUGACGCUGAGGCAUGAAAGCGUGGGGAGCAAACAGGAUUAGAUACCCUGGUAGUCCACGCCCUAAACGAUGCACACUAGUUGUUGCGAUGCUAGUCAUUGCAGUAAUGCACUUAACCAGAUUAAGUGUGCCGCCUGGGGAGUACGGUCGCAAGAUUAAAACUCAAAGGAAUAGACGGGGACCCGCACAAGCGGUGGAGCAUGUGGUUUAAUUCGAAGAUACACGAAGAACCUUACCUGGGCUUGAUAUCCUAAGAAUCCUGUAGAGAUACGGGAGUGCUAGUUUACUAGAACUUAGAGACAGGUGCUGCACGGCUGUCGUCAGCUCGUGUCGUGAGAUGUUGGGUUAAGUCCCGCAACGAGCGCAACCCUCGUGAUUAGUUGCUAACAGUUCGGCUGAGCACUCUAAUCAGACUGCCUUCGUAAGGAGGAGGAAGGUGAGGACGACGUCAAGUCAUCAUGGCCCUUAUGCCCAGGGCUACACACGUGCUACAAUGGCUAGGACAAAGAGACGCGAUACUGCGAAGUGGAGCAAAUCUUAAAACCUAGUCUCAGUUCGGAUUGGAGUCUGCAACUCGACUCCAUGAAGCCGGAAUCGCUAGUAAUCGUAGAUCAGAUAUCCGGCUACGGUGAAUAGGUUCCCGGGCCUUGUACACAGCC
rnacentral:rRNA from 1 species